GCAGUAGCCAAGCCACCAGCUUUCACAGAUGAUGGCUCACACUGAAAUAACUUGUUCCUAGGGUAGUUGGUGAUCAAUGACUCAAAUUAAACCUUAGAAAAGUUUUUUUUCUUCCUGACACUUUAUAGGUUUCUCUACUUAUCUCCUCCCUGGAUGGCUGUAUAAGCCAGAUGACGGCUACCUGAACACUCUAGAAAAAGUGAAUUCACAGAGGCUUUCACAGGGCUUGAUCUGCAGUCCUUUCAUCUCAAAGAGAAUGGCCAGCAAGGAGCCCAUUCAUGGAGCCUUGUUGGACAACUCCACCUACACAGUCUUCAGUGGUGCUCUGGAGAACAGAAGCUGACAACAGGCUAUGGUGAUCCAGAGUCCUCACCGUCUACUCUCCCAUCCCUUCAACCAAACUUUCCUGGGCAACUCUGAUGCCAGGCAUUUCUAGCACUGUGACAGAACCUGGUGGAGGACAGAGGGCUCCACUUCAAAGGUAACCACCUGUCUCCUUCUGCUAUAACAGGGCUGACCUCAGUGCAGCAGAGGGCAGAGCUUGGAGGCAGCUGCUGAGAAUUUGCACUCUAAAGACAUCCACCUAAAUCACAAGCUUUAUAUCUGGGCACUCAGCCAGACCUCCUGACCAUAUCCUGGACUGCGGACUUUGGAUGGUGGAACGGGGGUGGAAUUGAACAUUAAAUGAGCAACAUGCUAAUUCCAUGCAAAUGAAUAUCUAUUUUGAAUCAACAGCUUGGGCACUUUUUCUAGGAGGGCUGAGGCAGCAGGAAUCUAAAGAGAGGAUGAGAGGGGGAGGGGUUUCUCUCAGAGGUGGCAGAGAGUGCAAAGGGGGCUCCAGGCUGGGCAGAGCCACCUCCUGCCCACAGUUCCUAAUGCUAUUUGAUUGGCUCAUUAGCAAGUAUGAAACAUGGGAAGUCCAAAAAAAAGGAAUAAAGAAAAAAA
ensembl:lncRNA novel transcript